rnacentral:tRNA from 1 species
GCGUCAGUGGUGGAACGGUAGACACGCUACCUUGAGGGGGUAGUGCCUUACGGGUGUGGAGGUUCAAAUCCUCUCUGACGCACCA